rnacentral:rRNA from 3 species
AGUGACGAUAGCCUAGGAGAUACACCUGUACCCAUGCCGAACACAGUAGUUAAGCCCUAGAACGCCGGAAGUAGUUGGGGGUUGCCCCCUGUCAGAUAUGGUAGUCGCUUAGCA